AUGGUGCCUGGAAAUAAUAAAGUGUCAAAGCAGGUAUGCAUCUUCUUCUCUAGCUCAAACCAGCUUGUUUUUGGGCUGAAAAUUGGUCAUAAGAUAAAAGAUCUUGACAAGAGACUUCAUGAGAUUACCUCGAAUAGAACAUUUGGUCAAUUACAAGUGAACCACGAAGAUGCACGAUUUGUAAUAAGAGAGAGGGUCACCCACUCAUUUGUCCGCGAGGAUAAUAUAAUAGGGAGAGAUGAAGAUAAAAGAGCAAUUAUUCAACUUCUGUUGCAUCCCAUCUCUACAGAGAAUACAGAGAAUGCAGAGAAUGUGUCCACCAUUUCCAUUGUGGGAUUUGGAGGAAUGGGAAAAACUGCACUUGCCCAACUCGUAUUCAACGAUGAAGAGGUUCAAAAGCAUUUUGAUAUGUGUGUCAAAUGUAUUUGAGUUGGAUAUACUUGUUAAGAAAAUCAUUCAAUCUGCAACUAAUGAAAUAGCCAAAAGCCUUGAGAUUGAUCAGUUGCAAAAAGAACUUAGGAAAAUAAUAGAUGGAAAGAAAUACCUCCUUGUGUUAGACGAUGUGUGGAAUGAAGAUCAUGGAAAAUGGGACGACUUGAAAGACUUGUUGAUGGGUGGUGCAAGAGGUAGUAAAAUACUAAUAACUACUCGUAUUGAUACAGUUGCAAAGAUAACAAAUACAGCUAAACCAUAUAAGUUAAAGGGGUUGAAUGAAGAACAGUCUUGGUCUUUAUUUAAGAAAAUGGCAUUUCAAGAUGGAAAAGAGCCAACAAGUUCAACCAUUAAGGUGAUUGGGGAGGAGAUUGCUAGAAAAUGUAAAGGGGUUCCGCUUGCUAUAAGGACCAUAGGACGGAUGUUGUACUCGAAACAUCACACUCUGAACAUCAAGAAACUAAGUGGUUGAAUUUCAAGAGUAACAAGCUUUCAACAAUAAGUCAAGAAAAAGAUGCUAUUAUACCAACACUUAGGCUGAGUUAUGAUGUUCUCCCAUCACAUUUGAAACAUUGUUUUGCUUAUUGUAGUUUGUUCCCGCCUGAUUAUGAGAUUCCCAUAGAGAAUUUAAUUAAGCUAUGGGUGGCACAAGGGUUCGUUAAGUCUUCAAAUCCUAAUGAGUGCUUGGAAGAUGUUGGUUAUGAAUAUUAUAACGAACUAGUUUGGAGAUCUUUUUUCCAAGAAGAAGAAAAAGAUGAGUUUGGUAUAAUAAAAAGCUGUAAAAUGCAUGAUCUCAUGAAUGAACUUGCUGUUAAAGUGGCAGGGGAGGGAAGCAGAAUUAUAGAUCACAAUAAGACUGAUUUUGAUGGAAAACGUCUUCUUCAUGUAUCUUUCGAUUUUGAUGUUGCUUCGUCGGAAUGGAAAAUACCGACAUCCUUGCUGGAAUCAAAUAAGCUAAGGACUUUUCUUUUCCUAAGGCAAAGGCGGGGGUGGACUAAGUCAUUCCACAAGUCAUUUUGUGCUACAAUUGCUUCAAAUUUUAAGUCAUUGCGUAUGUUGAGUUUGGAUGGAUUGGGAAUUACAAAAUUGCCAAAAUGUCUUAGGAAAAUGAAACAUUUAAGAUAUCUUGAUCUUAGUUUUAAUCCCAUUGAGAGACUUCCAAAUUGGAUAGUCGAACUUCAAAAUUUGGAAACACUAGAUCUCUCUAGAUGUAUCUCGCUUGUGGAAUUGCCUAGAGAUAUCAAGAAAUUGAUCAACUUGAGGCAUCUCGUUUUGGAAGGUUGUUAUGAAUUGGCUCGAAUUCCUCCUGGAUUGGGCCAAAUGACUUGUCUUCGUACUUUGAGUAAAUUUGUUUUGAGC